rnacentral:rRNA from 1 species
UGAAUACGAGACGCUACGGCGUCGAAGCAGUCUAUGUCAUACUUCCAAGAAAAGCUUGCACUGUCAUAAACAAAUAAUGCCUGUACCAUAACCGACACAGGUGGGUAGGUAGAGUAUACUAAGGGGCGCGAGAUAACUCUCUCUAAGGAACUCGGCAAAAUGACUCCGUAACUUCGGGAGAAGGAGUGCCUUAUUUAUAAGGUUGCAAUAACAAGAUCCAAGCAACUGUUUAUCAAAAACACAGGUCUCCGCUAAGUCGUAAGACGAUGUAUGGGGGCUGACGCCUGCCCAGUGCCAGAAGGUUAAAGAAGUUGGUUAGCAUUAGCGAAGCUGAUAACUGAAGCCCUGGUGAACGGCGGCCGUAACUAUAACGGUCCUAAGGUAGCGAAAUUCCUUGUCGGGUAAGUUCCGACCCGCACGAAAGGCGUAAUGAUUUGGAUACUGUCUCGGAGAGGGGCUCGGUGAAAUAGACUUGUCUGUGAAGAUGCGGACUACCUGCACCUGGACAGAAAGACCCUAUGAAGCUUUACUGUAACCUGAAAUUGAAAUUGGACUUUAUUUGCGCAGUAUAGGUGGGAGGCGUUGAGAAUAUUCUUGCGGGAAUAUUGGAGCCAUCAGUGAGAUACCACUCUUGUAAUGUUAGAUUUCUAACUUUGAAUCAUUAUCUGGUCAAAGAACAGUUUCAGGCGGGCAGUUUGACUGGGGCGGUCGCCUCCUAAAUGGUAACGGAGGCGCACAAAGGUUUCCUCUGAACGGGUAGAAAUCGUAUCUAGAGUGUAAAGGCAUAAGGAAGCUUGACUGUGAGACCUACAAGUCGAGCAGGGACGAAAGUCGGUCUUAGUGAUCUGACGGUGCUGAGUGGAAAGGCCGUCACUCAACGGAUAAAAGUUACUCUAGGAUAACAGGCUGAUCUCCCCCAAGAGUUCACAUCGACGGGGAGGUUUGGCACCUGAUGUCGGCUCAUCGCAUCCUGGGGCGGUAGUACGUCCCAAGGGUUGGGCUGUUCGCCCAUGAAAGCGGUACGCGAGCUGGGUUCAGAACGUCGUGAGACAGUUCGGUCCAUAUCCGGUGUAGGCGUUAGAAUAUUGAGAGGAGCCUUCUUUAGUACGAGAGGACCGAGAAGGACAUACCUCUGGUGUACCAGUUAUCGUGCCAACGGUAAACGCUGGGUAGCUAUGUAUGUAGAGGAUAACCGCUGAAAGCAUCUAAGUGGGAAGCCCACCUCAAGAUAAGUAUUCAC